AUUUGAAUAGUUUAAUAAAAUAUUGAUUUGUGAUAUCAGAGAUGCAAUUAUUGCUUUAAAUU
rnacentral:tRNA from 1 species